UACGUAGGGUGCAAGCGUUAAUCGGAAUUACUGGGCGUAAAGAGCUCGUAGGCGGUCUGUCGCGUCUGCUGUGAAAACUCAGGGCUUAACCCUGAGCUUGCAGUGGGUACGGGCAGACUAGAGUGCGGUAGGGGAGACUGGAAUUCCUGGUGUAGCGGUGAAAUGCGCAGAUAUCAGGAGGAACACCGGUGGCGAAGGCGGGUCUCUGGGCCGUAACUGACGCUGAGGAGCGAAAGCGUGGGGAGCGAACAGG
rnacentral:rRNA from 1 species